rnacentral:SRP_RNA from 2 species
GCCAGGUGUGGUGGUGCACACCUGUAGUCCCAGUUACUUGGGAAGCUAAGGCAGGGGGAUCACUUGAGCCCAGGAACUUGAGGCUGCAGUGAGCUAUGACUGCACCACUGCACUCCAGCCUGGGCAACAGAGUGAGACCCUGUCUCAA